AUGUCAUAUGGUGCCAGCAAGAUGCCGUUAGGGGAGAAGCAGAAUGCUGCAGUGGGGAAGGAGCCUGUUGAGAAGGCGGAAGGGGUGGACUCCAUGAUGGGGUGCCUUAACCUCCUUGCGGACGACACUGAUUUUGUGGAGAUGAGUGAUGAUGAGGAAGGGGAUUGCUCGGUGCCGGUGAAGUGGUCGCUGCUCGGGAUGAUUCUCUCGCCCUCUGUGAUUCAUAUCAGCACCACCACGUCGGCAAUGCGCCCGGCCUGGGGAAAUCCCAGGGGGCUCAAGCUCAGGAACGUUCGAGACAACGUGUUUGUGGCUGAUUUCGCGAACAAGUCUGACAGAGAUAGGGCUCAAGAGGGGACGCCAUGGAUGGUGGGUAAACAUGCGGUUCUCCUUCAAGACUACGAUCCCUGGCUUCGCCCGUCAGAUAUCAGGUUCGACUCAAUGUCUAUCUGGGUCAGAAUCUUGAACCUUCCCUUUGAAUGGAUGAACAAUCGCAAGGGCCUGAAGAUUGCAAAACUGAUCGACAAGAACUGCACGGUGGAUGUGGACGAGGGUGGCAAUGCCUCAGGCUCCUUUCUGCGAGCCAGGGUGUCCAUCCCUCUUAAAGGGCCCUUGCGCCGGUGGGUGACAAUCAGGAAGGGCAGCGAGGAUGUGAAAUAUGACCUACAAGGCUUGAGAGCCCCAGAGGAGAGAAGAAAGCGGCUGCAAUCCUUUGGGCAGGCUGCUGUUUCAGCUUCCUGGAGCAGUGAUAACAAAGACAGAGGAGGGGGAAGCCGUGGCUCCGUCCCUGAGUCUGCCACCAGCAGAACUUCUCGUGAAACAGGGGUGAAUGAGACUGUGAAGCCUGGCGAGCAAGAGGCGACUUCACCACUUGCAAAAAACAAACCUGUCCCAGGAAGAAACAAAGUUUCCGAGAUUGCAAAGAAAUUAUUCUCUACGGACCCGGAGAUGCCGGAAAAAUAUGUACGCAAGAGAAAACCAGAAUCUAGGGCUGGGAGUAAAGGAGAUGGGGCUGCUAAGGGGAAGCUUUCUACUGCCCCCCUGCAAGGUUCAGACCUCUCUCUGGUCGUCGUGGGCAAGGGCUUAGUGGGAGGGCCCAGUCUCCCGCUCACUGGUUUGGACAAGGACGAAAAGCUGACAAAAAACACAAGAAUGACCAGUUCUGUUUCCAAAGCCAGGGGAAUCAAAAGGGGGUGGGUAGAGAUCAAGUUGCAACAAGCACAGAAGCGGGGCUGCCUAUUCAGCCCUGCAGUAAGCAAUGAAGAAACAAAGCUGGACAGGGAGAGGAUGAAGCGAAUUAAGGUGUUGUCGGGAAUGCCCAACAUGGAGGUAAAGGACUGUGAGGGGCAAAGCGGUGGCUUGGCCCUUCUCUGGAAGAAGGAUGUAAAUGUAAGAGUGAACCCUGGGAUGUCGCGCUACCACAUCGACGCCGACGUCACUGGGGAGGAUGGGUUCAUCUGGAGGCUUACUAGUAUUUAUGGUGAACCGAAGCACGGGGAGAAAGAGAAGACUUGGAAACUCUUGCGCAUCCUUCAUGGACGUUCCUCUCUGCCUUGGAUGUGUUUUGGUGACUUCAAUGAGAUCCUCUUCGCAAGUGAGAAGCAGGGGGGUCCGGAUAGAUCCCAUGCCUGCAUGGAUAAAUUUCGGAGUGCUCUGGAGUUCUGUGAGCUUGAGGAUUUGGGCUUCGUGGGGGAUCCUUACACUUGGCGCAAUCACAGUCACCGAGCGGACUCUUACAUUAAGGAGAGGCUUGAUCGGGCUAUCGCAAACUUGGGAUGGCGCUCCCAUUUCCCGGCCUACAAGGCAAUCAAUGGGGAUCCAAGGCACUCCGAUCACAGACCCGUGAUUGUGGUUUUGGAACCGGAAUACCGGGGCAAUAGCACUGGGUGCGUGUUUGAACAACAAAAAUUCGAGGCAAAGUGGCUUGAGGAGGAGCAAUGCGAUGAGGUGGUGCGCAAUGCCUGGCACUUGGCAAUGCUGACUGGCGAUAGAGGGUUAGCUGCCACAAUCAAAAGAGUUGGGAUGGAACUGCACACAUGGAGCAAAGAGGCCUUGGGCGAUCUAAAGAACCGUAUCAAGAAGGUCAAGAAGGAGCUCAAUCGCUGCAGGAAAAGAGCCAUCUCCCAGGAGCAAGUCUCUCUUGAGCAGAUGCUAAGGUACAAGCUUGAGAGACUGCAAGACCAAAAAAAUACUUAUUGGAAGCAGCGAGCGAAGGCUCAUUGGCUGCAUGAUGGAGAUCGAAACACUAGCUUCUUCCACGCUUGCGCCUCGGAGAGGCGCAGGAUGAACUUGAUCAAAUCUCUCAAGAAUGACGAGGGCGGUGUGGUGGAGGGGGAGGAGGAGCUGAGAACCUUUAUCACUAACUACUACUCCCUCCGUUCCAAAAUAGAUGACUCAACUUUGUACUAACUUUAGUACAAAGUUGAGUCAUCUAUUUUGGAACGGAGGGAGUACAAGCAGCUUUUCUCUUCUCGUGCAGGAACUAGAGCGGAUGAGCUCCUUGACAAGGUCUCCCCCAUUGUUACUGCUGAGAUGAAUGUCUUCCUUAAGAGACCUUUCACCAUUGAAGAAAUAAAAUUGGCUCUUAAUUCCAUGAGUGAUUUGAAGGCCCCGGGUCUAGAUGGCAUGCCAGCGGUCUUUUAUAAGCGCUUCUGGGAUCUAGUAGGGGAAGUUGUGCAGGGCGAAGUUCUCGAGGUUCUAAAUGGUGGCCAAAUUCCAGCGGGCUGGAACGAAAUGGUCAUUGUCUUGAUCCCCAAAGUCAAGAAUCCAACCCACCUUAAGGAGUUGCGGCCGAUCAGCCUUUGCAACGUGGUGUUUAAGAUUGUCACAAAGGUGAUUGCUUGUCGGAUGAAGGAGGUGCUUGAUGUGGUCAUUUCUCCUAGCCAGAGUGCCUUUGUCUCUGGACGGCUGAUUACCGACAAUAUUCUGAUCGCUUAUGAGACCACCCAUUUCAUGCGCCAGAGAAAGGGAGGCUUCUCUAAUAGCUGGGUGCAACUGGUGAUGCGUUGUGUGACCACGGUCACAUACAGGGUUAAGGUGAACAAGAAUCUGACUGAGGUGGUGGUGCCUCAAUGUGGCCUGAGGCAAGGGUGUCCUCUAUCACCUUACCUUUUCAUCUUGUGUGCUGAGGGGCUCUCGGCUCUCUUCCACCGGGCUGAGGAGGAUGGAUCCCUGCAGGGAGUUCAGGAGCUGUGGAGGUGUGAUGAAGACACACAGCUGAAGGCCGUGACCUUUAUGUGGGAAUGGUGGAAUGUUCGCAACAAGGCCAAUGCUGGUGAGGCGGCUCCUAAGCCUCAAGCGGUUUGUCACCGGGUGGAGAAGAUGCUGAUUGAGUCCCUGGGCUUGCGCAAACCAAACAAGCCUCCUAGGCCACCAGACAUUCACAAAUGGAGCAAGCCCCCCGUGCAUCAUGUGAAGGCUGGCGAAUUUAUCGCUGCUGGUGCGGGCAAGUCCGUGAACCUGAAAUGUGCUUUGCAAUCUGAAUCUGUAGCCUGCCUUGCUGCCAUUGAUGGGGCGAUCGGGAUUGGGGCAAAUCGAAUCAUCUUCGAGUCUGACUCCCCAACCCUUAUACAGGCUUUGAAGAGCAACGAUUAUGACAAGGCAACCAUUGGAUUUGGAAAGACGCCGACAUCUAUAAGAUGCGGUGAUGAUCUCACUAGGAGUACAAAUGAGGAGCUAAUAGCCAGCAAGGCUGACUCGAAGCCGAACUCAAAUGAGAACCUAACGACUUGCAAUGGUGUUGGAAAGUUGAUCGAGUCAUUGCCUCCAGGAGACGCCAUUCUGUUUUUAUGCUCCGGCAUUCCUAUAGAACACAAUCCGUCUUGCACAAAAGUGUUGACCUCAACAAAUUUGGCUGCAGCUAUGAGGGACAAAACAAAAUCCAGCUCUGCCAUGAAGAUUCAAGUGCGCGAUGCAUUUAGUAAUGUUGCCCCUGGGUGCUUGGAGGAAUGUGAGUUAGAUCACGGGACUGUUAGGGCUGCUGUUGUCAAAGUGACAUGGUUCCUUGAUGUUUGUGAAGUACGUCUCCGCCAUGGGGUGGAAAUUCCGCCCCUCAUUGUCGUGGUAGCCAUACACUUUAAUGGCUCUGGUGGAGCGACGGCUGUAAAAGAGAUCCUGAGUAAAGUUUCAACGCCUUCCGAGACUGUGCUUUGCAAGGCUGGUGAUGGCGAGCCACUCUUUGACGGUGAUGGGAACUUUGUUGGCAUGGCUAUUUUUUCCGAUGGCAGGCAUGUUUAUGUGCAAGGAAGUGUAAUUUUUGAAAAUUUGGUGGAAUUUGCGAGAGGGAUUAGGGCAAGGGAGGUCAUGAGGUGGGGGCUGAAACUGGGGAAGAAAGGAUCGGUGAUUGCCCUAGAACACUACUCGGUGGUAGGUGGCCGUUUGGGCUUCAGUUACUGCAUGACAGAUGACAGAUGGGACGAGACAGCUCAGAAAGGUAUCUGCAUGCCCGGCCGUCAGACAAUGGCAUGCGCCGCUAUGCAAUAG
rnacentral:rRNA from 1 species